UGUCUACGAGAAGCUUCUAAGGAGAGUC
rnacentral:piRNA from 1 species